UAGGGAAUCUUCCACAAUGGACGCAAGUCUGAUGGAGCAACGCCGCGUGAGUGAAGAAGGGUUUCGGCUCGUAAAGCUCUGUUGUUAAAGAAGAACACGUAUGAGAGUAACUGUUCAUACGUUGACGGUAUUUAACCAGAAAGUCACGGCUAACUACGUACCAG
rnacentral:rRNA from 1 species